rnacentral:rRNA from 1 species
AGAUUGAACGCUGGCGGCAGGCCUAACACAUGCAAGUCGAGCGGUAGAGAGGUGCUUGCACCUCUUGAGAGCGGCGGACGGGUGAGUAAUGCCUAGGAAUCUGCCUAGUGGUGGGGGAUAACGUUCGGAAACGGACGCUAAUACCGCAUACGUCCUACGGGAGAAAGCGGGGGACCUUCGGGCCUCGCGCCAUUAGAUGAGCCUAGGUCGGAUUAGCUAGUUGGUGAGGUAAUGGCUCACCAAGGCGACGAUCCGUAACUGGUCUGAGAGGAUGAUCAGUCACACUGGAACUGAGACACGGUCCAGACUCCUACGGGAGGCAGCAGUGGGGAAUAUUGGACAAUGGGCGAAAGCCUGAUCCAGCCAUGCCGCGUGUGUGAAGAAGGUCUUCGGAUUGUAAAGCAACUUUAAGUGGAGUAAGGUUGUAACUUAAUACGUUGCUAAUUUGACGUUACCGACAGAAUAAGCCUAACGGCUAACUUCGUGCCAGCAGCCCG